GUCGUUACAGUCUUUGCACUCUUUUCUUCGCUUUUACUGCUGUUCUGUGCCUCACAAGGACAAGUUUGUUGUUUGGCACACGCGCACACAGGAGCAGAUUGGAACUAGCUUGUCGUGGGCGCGUCACCACUUUUCGUUCGGUUCGCGAGGGAAGCUACAAUAUUGCUCGUUGCCUCUCCUCUUUUUUUUUCGCGGAAGUCUUCAUUUCACAUUGCGCCCGUUGGCGCCUUCAGUGCUCACUCUGCUUGGGGAGAGGGAAGGUGAGUCAAACAACCGAUUGGUCAGCUGUGUUUGCCCUCCUCGCCGCCAGCUCUUUCUCUUGAGUUGUUUCUUUUACGCAUCCACUGGUGCUGGUCACCUCAUCUGACCCCCUCAGAGAGAAAGGCAAUUUAGGGAGACAAUGCACGUGGUGCCUGGCGAGCCUGUGCGCCGCCGAAACAGCAGCGCAAGUGUUCGCUCCUCCUCGGCGGUAGCUGCCGUUGGUCGCGGUAACAGACGCCGAGGGGGCAGCUCUGGUGUUGGUCGCAAGCACCUCCUCUCGCUCAUCCCGCAGCGUCGCGUUCUCGCCCUGCUGUGCCUUGGGGUUGUGUUGCUGAUCUCGUUCGUGUGGGUUGCGCAUCGCAACAGCGAAACAAGCGGGAGAAACCUGAAGUGGUGGUGGACGCUUUCGUGGUUGGAAACAAAGACCUUUUCCAUCUCCUCCCCUGCCCCUCACCUCACCCCCACCCCUGCAACAG
rnacentral:misc_RNA from 1 species